CUCCGCUCGUUAUUAGCUACCGGCCCGUUUCUUUUCCUCUCCAAGGGGUGGCGAAUGCUAUUGACCUUUAAUUUGCGGGGACCAAAGAAUGUCGGUAGCCAUGGAAGCUAGAGAGCUCUCCUCUUCCUUAGCGGCACUUUCUAUACUUUUUGUGCCGCUGCUAACAAUUUUCUCAUGUCCUUCUCCUGUCUCGGCUCUGAACACCAUCACCCAUCUUCCAGGAUUUCAUGGAACCCUGCCCUUCUACUUGGAAACCGGAUACGUGAAGGUGGAUGAGGUGAAUGAUGCGCAGCUUUUCUACUACUUCAUAAAGUCUGAGAGCAAGCCAGAGGAGGACCCUUUAAUGGUGUGGCUGACAGGAGGCCCGGGCUGCUCGGCGUUCUCAGGAUUGGUGUAUGAGAUUGGCCCUCUAAAAUUUGAUGUUGCCGGCUACACUGAAGGCCUACCAACCUUGGUCUACAACCCGUAUUCUUGGACUAAGGUGUGCAACAUCAUCUUUCUCGAUUCGCCGGUGGGAACUGGAUUCUCCUAUUCGAGUGUGGAGAAAAGCUACGAGACGGGAGACACCAAAGCGGCCCAACAAGUCCACACUUUCCUCAGAAAGUGGCUUAUUGAUCACCCGGAGUUCCUUUCCAAUCCACUCUACAUCGGUGGAGAUUCCUAUUCUGGUAUUGUUGUGCCUGUUGUUGCUCAAGAAAUAGCAAAAGGUGAUCGAGAUGGAGAUGAACUGCUUUACAAUCUCAAGGGUUAUCUGGUUGGCAACCCGGUAACAGAUGAGAAGUUUGAUAAUGGGGCAUUUGUCCCAUAUGCUCAUGGGAUGGGACUUAUAUCUGACGAACUUUAUGAGUCAACCAAGAAAAGUUGUGGAGGAGAAUAUGCUAGUCCCAGAAAUGAACAAUGUGCAAAUUAUCUGCAGUCUAUAAAUGAGUGUAUUGAGGGAAUAAACGAAGGCCAAAUUUUGGAGCCAGUGUGCUUUUUCGUGAGCCCAAAGCCCCACAUAGUUGCUGCAUAUAGCAGGAGAUUGCUUAAAGAGGAUAUUAAAGAGUUUUCUUUAUUAAAAUCUGACCUUCCUUUGGAGUGUAGAAGUUCUGGAUACUUGCUCUCCUACUUCUGGGCAGACAAUGAUACUGUUAGAGAGGUUCUCAAUAUUCAUAAGGGGACAGUGCAACAUUGGCAGAGAUGCAACUAUGGUCUACCUUAUGCACACGAUAUCCCAAGUUCUCUGAAGUUUCAUCUAAAUCUGACCAGCAGAGGUUACCGAGCAUUGGUAUACAGUGGUGAUCACGACAUGGUUGUACCCUUUUUGGGCACGCAAGCAUGGAUUAGGUCUCUCAACUUCUCCAUCGUGGAUGACUGGCGGUCAUGGUCUGCAGAUGGGCAAGUUGCAGGGUUCACGAGAACUUACUCAAAUAACCUAACAUUUGCAACUGUGAAGGGUGGGGGACACACAGCUCCAGAAUACCGGCCAAAAGAAUGCUUGGUUAUGCUUCAAAGAUAAAUGAACUUGAAUGGCUAAGUUGCAUCUAUGAGAUGCCAUAUGAAAGCGGGGACAAUGACUUGGCUAUACCUUUUUUGGGAACCAAGAAAUGUAUUAAAUCUCUCAAUUACAUCGUGGAUGACUGGCGGUCAUGGCAUGGGGAUGGCCAAGUUGCUGGGGUGCAGGACACAGCUCCGGAGCAUCGGCCUAAUGAAUGUUUAGCGCGCUAUGUUUAAAAUAUGGAUAAAUUACAAGCCAAUACGAAUUUAAAGCAUCCUUUGAAGCUGAAAUCUGAACAAGCUUGCAAAUUGCUGGAUCAAUUGCAAUAUCAGAUUAAUCUGUGCAUCCAUGAAGAAAGGGACAGGCUAGACUUGAGCAUUAUUUGGUGGUUGGCUUUUAUUUUAUAUUGUAAAUCUAUCCACAAAUUUAUGGCAAUUAAGAAGUAUGGAGUUUGUUUC